GGUUUUUAUAACACUUGAUGAAGAAUGUAAGGGCUAUGGUACCAUUAGGACUUCCACGUAGGUUGGUGUACAGUGUAAAAUGCUACUGUGUUCAAACACAACUGUAGAGCCCUGAGCACAGUGCACCCUGCUCUGCAGCCGCUGGCUUCUUGGGAACACCAUUGCUGAUUGCUGCCCUGUUCUUUGUUUCAUCCUGCUCUUUCAUAAGUGCAUGUGACUGCAUAAAGGAGGAAAAUGAAUUGGAGCUCUUUGGCCCUACAAAUGGUAAAUGGAUGUGUGGCCCCGCUACUUAAUAUAGGUACUGCCUGAUUAUAUUCCAAUGCCACCAGUAUUAGAAAUGCAGGUUCUCUAGGCAAGCCAAGCAGAGAAGAGCCAACACUUUGAAGAACUUGGAAAAGGGGAGGAUUACUUCUGCAUGCAUCCACAGUGCCAAAGAAGCUUCUUCUGGGUGUAUAUGUAGGUGCUGACUUCCACACCUGGGUCUCAGAAAGCACAGACACUAACCAACCGCUCUGAAAUGCUGUUCCCAGAAGGACUGACUGCAGAAGUAACACAGUUCCCAGAAGAACUGGGCACAGAAGUAGCAUCCUUUUAUUCCCACUUACUUGCUUUUAAUCACUUCUGUAUUUUAGGGAUGGGGGUUAUAAAGUUAAAGUAGUAAAUCCUUGCUGAGCUGGAAAUACCAGGACUUGCAGCCUGCAUGAACUCUGUUCUAACAUACAGCGCUUGCUGCAGUGCUGGAAGGAACCUGGACUGACCAGUUGUUCCUCUCAACCCUCUCCACCUCCCAUGUAGUGCAGGCUUCAUACUGCCACCGUGGAAGCUGUGAAAGAGAAUGAGUUUGUGGCAUUUGUUAAUAAUUCACUAAUAUUGUAUUUUAAUAGCAAAAUGUGAGAUGGGGAAAGGUGCUGCAGGCUCUGAAGGCUCCUCUGAGCCAGGGAGAGUCUGAAGCCUAGCAGGCUGCUGGGUUUGCUUGAAACAAGGUGGGAUGGGCAGCUCAGGAACUCCAGAAACCCCAUGUGCUCAGGCUUUUCAAGUAAGAUCCAUCAUACUUGUUUUUCCUCUGUUUAUUCCUGAGCAAGCUUCUACAGAUUUCUGAUUGACCAUUAAGAGCUGCACCCCUUUAAACUAAAGCAAGCAAUAAAGCUUGCGUUACUGUUACAUUAAUAUAUCCUGAGUCUACCAGCAGCCUUUUUUAUUUCCAUGUAUCUGUAAUAUCAGCCUAAAGGCACAUUCAGUAGCAUUUCUUUGAAACUUCCUAUACCCAUUGAUAGGCAUAUAGGAGUCAGGAUUGGCUCCUUUUAAAACUUGUAAUAGCUUUGCAAAGAGGGGAAUGGGUUGGGAAUGUGUCAUUUGAGAUUUUGAUAAAAACCUAAUGGGAAACUGGUCUGUGAGCCAACUUGAAUGAGCUAGAAACCUAAUAUGAACAAAGAUCAGCGAAGCUCCUCAGGUUGCCCAGAAGUAUUAAGUGUUUCAUUUGUGAAAUCCCCAAAGUCUGCCAAUACUUGAAAGCUUGGCAUGAUGCAGAAGGUGCGCUUGCUAAGGCAGGGUUAGCACAGAUGGGAGCCAAGGAACUGAGAACACUUUUUGUCCCUAUAUGAUGAAUUUUAAGGCUUCAUUUUUUGCAGGUGGAUUCCAAAAUAAGAUAGCAGGUGGCAUAUUUAAGGUUUCCAAGCAAACCUGCAGUUUCAGUGAAGAAAGGUGAUAAAAUUCCAGAAGGGGCCUGAAUUUGCAGCACGUUUUAUGUCUUGUUCACUGUAUAGAAGAUUAUUUAACCAGGGAUAUCUGUGGUCCUUGUGGAUGUUGUACAUAGUCAGUGUAAAGAAACUUUAGUUGUCCAUGCUUCUUGAAAUAUACCCAACCCUUUGCAGACUGUGCAUGAAACAGAAAACAGGGCAAUUGUGAUCAGCCUGGACUGAGCUGGUUUCCAAUUAGUUAAAUCAGAAAUAUUGGGAAGAAAUGUAGGUUGAAAAUGAACAUGCCAAGUCUAAACAAAAACCUGUGAUGAUUAUUUAGCAAACAAAGAAAACCAUGGAUUCAACAGAGCAUUACUACUGCAUUGAAAAGAAGGACUUUCUUUUCCUUUUUUACUCCCAAUCAACUGAUUGCAGUUUCUGCUAGCUGGAUCCCUAGCCUUUCAGGCUGUUUUGUGUAGGUGAGGUUUUUUAUACGGGAGAGAACCCCUGAAGUCUAAUAGAAACCUUUUAAGUAAAUCUUACAAAGCUCUAAUCUCUCAAAAGCUCCCAUGUUCUUCUCCUCUGUUCUUAUUCAAUUUUUAAUAAGAACAAUUCCAUGCAGCUCUAAAGCAUGGCUCAAUUAAGAAAUAUUCCUACCAGGCAUCUUUGAAAUCUUGGGAGGUUUUUGCUUUUUUCUUUUUUGUUGGGUUUUGUUUUAGGGUUUUUUUUUUCUUUUUCUGGUUUACCCCUACAAAUCUCAAUUUUGGUUGGUUGGAGUUUAGAGAAGGGGUUCCUUUUUAAUUGCAAGCUCCACUUCACACAGUUGUUUACAAGUAGACAAAAUAACUUUCAAAGUCUUCUGUUUUCUGCUUGAAGGAGACCAUCGAACACAUUAGUGCUGUAUUCUGAAGUUACAAAAAGGAUCUUUGAUCUAAUUCCCUAGACUUUAUCUGUCUAAAAAGUAUCUCUAGGUCAUGAGAAGUAAUUAAAAAGAAAAAAGUCUGAAUCAAAAUUUCAAGCCCAGGUAUUUUAUAGUAAUCAAACCUUUACUGCUUUAUGAUUCACUUUUAUUUUCAUAGUGUACGGCACUCUUCUUGCUGCUCUGGUUAAGCUUGUAUCAGCAUUUCCAUUAUAAAAUGCUGCUUUCAGGGGUUUAUAACUUAGCUGCAAAAAUUUACUUCUAGUUUAAGAUGGCAUUAUGACCUGACUGGAAAAUCAUGUUUGUACAAAAUACGAGUCUGCCAAUAUGUGAAAAAUUUUUGGAGUCUUAUUUUGGGCUUUUAGAGCAGAUUGCAAUGGUAGUGUCUCAUCAAAAUAUGCAUUGUUAAUGAUGAGAGAAAUAGACUGUGCCUGAAGCUAUCUCACACAA